rnacentral:rRNA from 1 species
AGAGUUUGAUCAUGGCUCAGAUUGAACGCUGGCGGAAUGCUUUACACAUGCAAGUCGAACGGCAGCACGGGAGCUUGCUCCUGGUGGCGAGUGGCGAACGGGUGAGUAAUGCGUCGGAACGUACCGAGUAAUGGGGGAUAACGCAGCGAAAGCUGUGCUAAUACCGCAUACGCCCUGAGGGGGAAAGUGGGGGAUCGUAAGACCUCACGUUAUUCGAGCGGCCGACGUCUGAUUAGCUAGUUGGUGGGGUAAUGGCUCACCAAGGCGACGAUCAGUAGCGGGUCUGAGAGGAUGAUCCGCCACACUGGGACUGAGACACGGCCCAGACUCCUACGGGAGGCAGCAGUGGGGAAUUUUGGACAAUGGGGGCAACCCUGAUCCAGCCAUUCCGCGUGAGUGAAGAAGGCCUUCGGGUUGUAAAGCUCUUUCAGCUGGAACGAAACGGUACAUCCUAAUACGGUGUGCUAAUGACGGUACCAGCAGAAGAAGCACCGGCUAACUACGUGCCAGCAGCCGCGGUAAUACGUAGGGUGCGAGCGUUAAUCGGAAUUACUGGGCGUAAAGCGUGCGCAGGCGGAUUGUUAAGCAAGAUGUGAAAUCCCCGGGCUUAACCUGGGAAUGGCAUUUUGAACUGGCAGUCUAGAGUGUGUCAGAGGGGGGUGGAAUUCCACGUGUAGCAGUGAAAUGCGUAGAGAUGUGGAGGAACACCGAUGGCGAAGGCAGCCCCCUGGGAUAACACUGACGCUCAUGUACGAAAGCGUGGGUAGCAAACAGGAUUAGAUACCCUAGUAGUCC